UACGAAGGGGGCUAGCGUUGUUCGGAAUUACUGGGCGUAAAGCGCACGUAGGCGGAUUUGUAAGUCAGGGGUGAAAUCCCGGGGCUCAACCUCGGAACUGCCUUUGAUACUGCAAGUCUUGAGUCCGAUAGAGGUGAGUGGAAUUCCUAGUGUAGAGGUGAAAUGCGUAGAGAUCCGGAGGAACACCAGUGGCGAAGGCGCUGUCCUGGGCCGCAACUGACGCUGAAACGCGAAAGCAUGGGGAGCGAACGGG
rnacentral:rRNA from 1 species